AAGCAAGCAAGUUUGGCGGUUGUUACUGAAAAUGUGAACAUGCACGUUGCACUGUUGUGCAGUGGACUUUCAGAAUGAAUGGAUAUUUGUCCCAAGGCCAG